rnacentral:misc_RNA from 1 species
AACGCACCUUGCACUCUCUGGUAUUCCGGAGAGUAUGCCUGUUCGAGUGUCGUGAAGUACUCAACUUGCAGCUUUGUUGCUUGCAAGCUUGGAAUUGGGACCUGUCGGCGCAAGUCGACUGUCCUGAAAUGCAUUAGCCCUGAAUGCGAUCGUCGCAACUAAGCGUGAUAAACUUUGUCUUCGCUGAAAGCGUUCGUUCGGAGGGGCUUACAGAAACCCAUACUUUUUCACCUUUGACCUCGAAUCAGGUAGGAUUACCCGCUGAACUUAA